UCAGAUAGGUGUCGGAUUUUAUUUCUCACUUUAUGGGUGUCAGAAAAAUAUGAAACUUUAAAUCUAGCCUUAUAAAAAUAUUUCUGACUUAUCCUCCAAUUUUCAUAAUUUUCUGAGACUGUGCAUUUUCUGCUAAUUUAUCUGUCCCGUUUCCAAUAGAAAAUUCUAGAUCUUCUGUUUUCAUUCCGAUUUCAGCACAAGUCACUUCUGACUUAUAUUUUACUUCUAUAAAUCCAAUAAAAAUAGUUUCUCACACUAUUUUUAUUUAUUUUUAUUUUUAUACCAAAAUCUGGUAUGUUAC
rnacentral:lncRNA from 1 species